rnacentral:rRNA from 1 species
CAAGUCGAGGGGCAGCAUCAUCAAAGCUUGCUUUGAUGGAUGGCGACCGGCGCACGGGUGAGUAACACGUAUCCAACCUGCCGACAACACUGGGAUAGCCCUUCGAAAGAAAGAUUAAUACCGGAUGGCAUAGUUUUCCCGCAUGGGAUAAUUAUUAAAGAAUUUCGGUUGUCGAUGGGGAUGCGUUCCAUUAGGCAGUUGGCGGGGUAACGGCCCACCAAACCAACGAUGGAUAGGGGUUCUGAGAGGAAGGUCCCCCACAUUGGAACUGAGACACGGUCCAAACUCCUACGGGAGGCAGCAGUGAGGAAUAUUGGUCAAUGGACGAGAGUCUGAACCAGCCAAGUAGCGUGAAGGAUGACUGCCCUAUGGGUCGUAAACUUCUUUUAUACGGGAAUAAAGUUAGCCACGUGUGGCUUUUUGUAUGUACCGUAUGAAUAAGGAUCGGCUAACUCCGUGCCAGCAGCCGCGGUAAUACGGAGGAUCCGAGCGUUAUCCGGAUUUAUUGGGUUUAAAGGGAGCGUAGGCGGGUUGUUAAGUCAGUUGUGAAAGUUUGCGGCUCAACCGUAAAAUUGCAGUUGAUACUGGCGACCUUGAGUGCAACAGAGGUAGGCGGAAUUCGUGGUGUAGCGGUGAAAUGCUUAGAUAUCACGAAGAACUCCGAUUGCGAAGGCAGCUUACUGGAUUGUAACUGACGCUGAUGCUCGAAAGUGUGGGUAUCAAACAGGAUUAGAUACCCUGGUAGUCCACACAGUAAACGAUGAAUACUCGCUGUUGGCGAUAUACAGUCAGCGGCCAAGCGAAAGCAUUAAGUAUUCCACCUGGGGAGUACGC